rnacentral:rRNA from 1 species
GGCUCAGGAUGAACGCCGGCGGCGUGCUUAGGACAUGCAAGUCGAACGCAAUCGCCCCGCAAGGGGUGGUUGAGUGGCGAAUGGGUGCGUAACACGUAGGUGACCUGCCCGGAAGUGGGGAAUAACAGUCCGAAAGGACUGCUAAUACCGCAUGCGGUGCUGGGGUUUUGAAGCCUGGUACCAAAGGUUUCCGCAAGGAAGCCGCUUUCGGAGGGGCCUGCGGCCCAUCAGCUAGUUGGUAGGGUAACGGCCUACCAAGGCGACGACGGGUAGGGGACCUGAGAGGGUGACCCCCCACACUGGCACUGACACACGGGCCAGACUCCUACGGGAGGCAGCAGUCGGGAAUAUUGCACAAUGGACGAAAGUCUGAUGCAGCAACGCCGCGUGCGCGAUGAAGGCCUUCGGGUCGUAAAGCGCUUUUCGGGUGGAUGAGGAAGGACAGUACACCCGGAAUCAGGAACGGCUAACUACGUGCCAGCAGCCGCGGUAAAACGUAGGUUCCGAGCGUUAUCCGGAUUUACUGGGCGUAAAGCGCGUUCAGGCGGUUUGGCAAGUCGGGCAUGAAAUCCUUCGGCUCAACCGGGGGAGGUUGUCCGAUACUGCUGAACUGGAGGGCAGUAGAGGGUGGUGGAAUUCCGGGUGUAGUGGUGAAAUGCGUAGAGAUCCGGAGGAACACCAGUGGCGAAAGCGGCCACCUGGACUGCACCUGACGCUGAAACGCGAAAGCUAGGGGAGCGAACGGGAUUAGAAACCCCGGUAGUCCUAGCUAUAAACGAUGUUGACUAGGUGUGGACGGUCUAAACCCCGCCCGUGCCGGAGCAAACGCAUUAAGUCAACCGCCUGGGGACUACGGCC